UGCGUAGGGUGCGAGCGUUAAUCGGAAUUACUGGGCGUAAAGCGUGCGCAGGCGGUUUGCUAAGACCGAUGUGAAAUCCCCGGGCUUAACCUGGGAACUGCAUUGGUGACUGGCAAGCUAGAGUGUGGCAGAGGGGGGUAGAAUUCCACGUGUAGCAGUGAAAUGCGUAGAGAUGUGGAGGAAUACCGAUGGCGAAGGCAGCCCCCUGGGCCAACACUGACGCUCAUGCACGAAAGCGUAGGUAGCGAAUGGG
rnacentral:rRNA from 1 species